CACGUAGGGGCGAGCGUUGUCCGGAUUUAUUGGGCGUAAAGAGCUCGUAGGCGGCUCAGUUAGUCGGGUGUGAAACCCCCGGGCUCAACCCGGGGACGCCACCCGAUACUGCUGUGGCUAGAGUCCGGUAGGGGAGCGUGGAAUUCCUGGUGUAGCGGUGAAAUGCGCAGAUAUCAGGAGGAACACCAGCGGCGAAGGCGGCGCUCUGGGCCGGAACUGACGCUGAGGAGCGAAAGCGUGGGGAGCGAACAGG
rnacentral:rRNA from 1 species